ACCGUGUUGUUUUAAUAUUUGAGUCUUUUGUUUCUUUAUGAAGUAUUAUGUGGAGUGAAACAGGUUUAUCAAUAAAAACUAUAAAAUUACAAUCUUUGUGUUUGAUUAUUUAAAAAAAGCUUUUAAUAGAUUUUAUAGCAAUUGAUCACAAAUGUCAGUUCUGAUGUGUGUUUGUAAUGUGGAGGUACAGGAGUAAAAAGGUUUUUUUUAUUUUUUAACUUAACUCUGCAUUUUAAUUGUGACAUAGACCAAAUUCAGAUGAAUCAUUUGGUGGCUUGUACAUAUUUCAGCAUUAAACAUCACAGUUAUUUCUUCUUGUUUUUCCCUUUAAUAUAUAUACUCAAAGUGUUGAAGACUAUUCACAUUUAUUUAGUGCAGCAUUUUCAAUAAACUGGAGAUAACA